UACGGGGGGGACUAGCGUUGUUCGGAAUUACUGGGCGUAAAGCGCACGUAGGCGGAUUUGUAAGUCCGGGGUGAAAUCCCGGGGCUCAACCUCGGAACUGCCUUUGAUACUGCAAAUCUCGAGUCCGGAAGAGGCGAGUGGAACUCCUGGUGUAGCGGUGGAAUGCGCAGAUAUCAGGAAGAACACCAACGGCGAAGGCAGCUCGCUGGGACGGUACUGACGCUGAGACGCGAAAGCGUGGGGAGCGAACAGG
rnacentral:rRNA from 1 species